UUUGUUCAGAGAGAUUAUCUCAUUU
rnacentral:piRNA from 1 species